AAGCUUCUGUGAAUUCUUUCUUCUUAUAGUGCCAAUACGAUUGUUACAUAUGUGUAUUUUACAUUUUCCCACUGAAACUAUGUGGUAUUAGUACUGGUUAUAAGAGAUUUGUCUCGGAAAAUGACAUUAAGGAUGCUACCUAUAUUCAGUAAGUGAGAUGUACUUUUCCGAGUUCAGAGCGCAGGUCCAGAUAAGAUGCAAGGCAGCAGCACUGUUCCGCGUAUUGAGGGAAUUUUUGCAGCUGGGGUGCAAUGUUCUCCGCUUUCUGACAGAAUCCCUUUAACUAUCUUUGCAGAGAUUGUGAUGUAGUGCCCAUGAGUGACAGCCACAACAAUAUGAUAGCUUAUGGAUUCAAUGAUCUAACGUUUGGAGGCGACCUCACAGAAGCCAUGAUAUCCUUAAGGCUCCGGAUGUCGACAUUGAGAGCCUUGGCAUUGAAUUGAGUUCAAUACCAAAUCAGGCCAAGUAUUGAAAUGAGUUCAAUACCAAAGCAAUUGUUUGGAUGUCCAUGACAUUGGUAGAUGGAAUUGAACGGGGAGCGAAUGCCAAUUCAUGUUUGGAUGUGCUUAUGCAAAA